rnacentral:tRNA from 1 species
GCGAGGGUAAUUCAGCGGUAGAAUGUCAGCUUCCCAAGCUGGACGUCGCGGGUUCGACUCCCGUCCCUCGCU